GUGUAAUGCGUUUAGGUUAUUUAUUUGAUUUAAAUAUUGGGGAAAUCCCCUUAAAAAGGCCUCAUAUCAUGCUCGCAGAGAAAUAUACAACAGAAUGAAAUGUACAUUUACCUGUUGAAACCCACACUCGACGGUGAAUGAAAUCGUUUGAGUGUGGACUAAAAUAUCAACCAUAAACAUAAAUCGUAAUGAUUUAAAGGUUGCAAACAAAAAUAUUAACAAAUGAAAUAUGAUUUUUCAAUAAUUGCAAACGUUGUGUGCAUUAGAAACAAGAACAGGUUGAAGGGAUCGUAUGAAUAAUUAAAUAUUAUUUCGCAACUUCUAUUUAAAUAUUCAUGAGGAAAAGUGAUAUCGGGUCGGUGACUGUAUAUGACAUAGAAAUAUACAGUCAACGCAUUUCGACUGCUUAAAUAGAACGAGGGCAGUAUAAAUAUCAUUAUGAAUUAUGUAUUCUUAUUAAUUUUAUAAUCAAUAUCUUUCAAUAUUAAACAGAGGAUAAACAAACAAGUUUAACCAGCAAUUUGUUGUUAGUAUGGGUAGGUUGAUGGUAAUUUCUUGUUUUUUUUUCAUUUUUCUUUUUAGACAUGCUUUACACGAAAAAAAAUGUUAGAGCAGGGGAAAAAUUUAUGUCAUACAUUUUUCGUAGGCAACAUCAACCAAUUAAAUUUUACAUACGACCUUCCUCAAGCGUAGUGAAUUGUUAACCUUCACUGUACUACACCAUGUUAUUUAUAAAGCAAGACAAGUGUUUGUCGUACUGGACUGAAUCUUUUGUUCUCGUUACAUUUUUG
rnacentral:lncRNA from 1 species